UGCGGGCUCUGAAUUUGAGGGGAAAAGUGAACCAAGGAAAGUUUACAAUUACAUUUAAGGGCAUGUCCCUUCGCACCGUCCCCUUCUAAGCCUGCCUGGGCUCCACUGGCUGCUUUAGCGCUUUGCAGGACUGCAGACCCUGGCGCUAAGGAAUGGAGAGCCUGCAGUGUCCCCCGUCAUGCAGUAGCAACGCGUUCCUGCGUGUGUUCAAAAGCUUAUCUAAUGGACACACAGCAGAGCCCUUGGACCUGUGCCCUCUGCCGAGGCCUGCGAGCCUUGCCUGAGUGGAUUAAGCGGUGGUGGCGGCGGCGAGGGCGGCGUUACACGCGGGCUGGGCACCGGGCGGCGCUGAUGCAGGAGCAAAAGCUUCAAGGGAAGCCUGUGAAGACAAGUGGGGGAAAAUGAAGCCUAUGAAAGCUUAACUGGUGAGAAUACUCAUACCUGCUUGGAAUCUCCUGGAUGUUACCACACCAUCAUACCUAAUGACUAAAGUUCCUGUUUACUCUUGAAAAAGAGAGAUGGUUCAAAAGUGACUUCUCCUCUCAAGAGUGAAACAGGCAAAGAGAAGGCUGAAAGGCACAACAGAAGAAGCGUCUCUACC